rnacentral:rRNA from 1 species
UACGUAGGGGGCAAGCGUUAUCCGGAUUUACUGGGUGUAAAGGGAGCGCAGGCGGCCGUACAAGUCUGAUGUGAAAACCCGGGGCUCAACCGCGGGAGUGCAUUGGAAACUGUAAGGCUGGAGUGUCGGAGAGGCAAGCGGAAUUCCUAGUGUAGCGGUGAAAUGCGUAGAUAUUAGGAGGAACACCAGUGGCGAAGGCGGCUUGCUGGACGAUGACUGACGCUGAGGCUCGAAAGCGUGGGGAGCAA